rnacentral:rRNA from 1 species
GAUGAACGCUGGCGGCGUGCCUAAUACAUGCAAGUCGAGCGAACAGACGAGGAGCUUUCGCCUUUGACUUUAUCGGCGGACGGGUGAGUAACACGUGGGUAACCUACCUAUAAGACUGGGAUAACUUCGGGAAACCGUAUCUAAUACCGGAUAAUAUUUCGAACUGCGUUGUUCGAUAGUUAAAUUUGCCUUUUCGUUCACUUAUAGAUUAACCUGCGUAGUAUUAGCUAGUUGGUAGGGUAACGGCUUACCAAGGCAACGAUACAUAGCCGACCUGAGAGGGGGAUCGGCCACAGGGGAGAUGAGACGAGGUCCAGACCCCUACGGGAGGCAGGGGUCGGGAACCUUCCGCAAGGGGCGAAAGCCUGACGGAGAAAAGCGGCGAGAGUGAUGAAGGUCUUCGGAUCGUAAAACGCUGUUAUUAGGGAAGAACAAACGUCUAAGUAGCUGUGCAAGUAUGGCAGGUACCUAAUAAGAAAGCCCCGGCAAACUACGG